UGGGGAAUAUUGGACAAUGGGGGCAACCCUGAUCCAGCAAUGCCGCGUGUGUGAAGAAGGUCUUCGGAUUGUAAAGCACUUUCGACGGGGACGAUGAUGACGGUACCCGUAGAAGAAGCCCCGGCUAACUUCGUGCCAGCAGCCGCGGUAAUACGAAGGGGGCUAGCGUUGCUCGGAAUGACUGGGCGUAAAGGGCGUGUAGGCGGUUUACACAGUCAGAUGUGAAAUCCCCGGGCUUAACCUGGGAGCUGCAUUUGAUACGUGUAGACUAGAGUGUGAGAGAGGGUUGUGGAAUUCCCAGUGUAGAGGUGAAAUUCGUAGAUAUUGGGAAGAACACGGUGGCGAAGGC
rnacentral:rRNA from 1 species